rnacentral:snRNA from 1 species
GGAUGUGAGGGCGAUCUGGUGGUGACAUCUGUCGCCCCACUGCUCACUGGGGUUGUUUUGGCUGACCCGGCUGGCUAGGCUGGUGUCCCUUCCUCCCACAGCGCUCCAUGUGCCUCUCUCCUGAAGCUGUGCGCUUGGUCCCAGGGGAUGAGCACCCCAAUCGAGGAGGACUGUGCCAUGGUCAAGGGAUAUGAGUAGCUGCUCUGCCCUGCUAGAACCUCCCAGCACGCUCUCGGGAAACGUAGUGGUUGUGAGCAGCACAGAGUGAGGGCGAGCAGAAGUGGUUGGGAAGAGGCCAUGGGAUCCUGUGCGAUGGAGCCAUUCUGCAUCUUGAC